rnacentral:rRNA from 1 species
AUACGGAAGGUCCAGGCGUUAUCCGGAUUUAUUGGGUUUAAAGGGAGCGCAGGCCGGUGUGUAAGCGUGACGUCAAAUACAGCCGCUCAACGGUUGUCCGCGUCGCGAACUGCAUGCCUUGAGUACGCUGCAAGUGGGCGGAAUCCGUGGUGUAGCGGUGAACUGCUUAGAUAUCACGAAGAACUCCGAUUGCGAAGGCAGCCCGCUGUUGCGUCACUGACGCUGAGGCUCGAAGGUGCGGGUAUCGAACAGGAUUAGAUACCCUGGUAGUCCGCACUGUAAACGAUGGACACCCGCUGUGUGGCCUAUUUUGGUUGCGCGGCCAAGCGAAAGCAUUAAGUGUCCCACCUGGGGAGUACGCCGGCAACGGUGAAACUCAAAGGAAUUGACGGGG